rnacentral:lncRNA from 1 species
AGAGUUGGAGAGCGGGAACGCCGGAGAGCCGGCGAAGCUGAUCCGGCAGCGGUACCGGGAGGCGGCCGACAUAAUCAAGAAGGGGAAGAUGUGCUGCCUGUUCAUCAACGACCUGGACGCCGGGGCCGGGCGGAUGGGCGGCACCACCCAAUACACGGUGAACAACCAGAUGGUGAACGCGACGCUGAUGAACAUCGCCGACAACCCCACCAACGUGCAGCUGCCGGGAAUGUACAACAAGCAGGAGAACCCCCGCGUCCCCAUCAUCGUCACCGGCAACGACUUCUCCACCCUCUAUGCUCCGCUCAUCCGCGACGGGCGCAUGGAGAAGUUCUACUGGGCCCCCACCCGUGAGGACCGUAUCGGCGUUUGCAAGGGCAUCUUCCGCACCGAUGGCGUCCCCGAGGAGGCCGUCGUCAAGCUCGUCGACAC